rnacentral:rRNA from 1 species
UACAGAGGGGGCAAGCGUUGUUCGGAAUUACUGGGCGUAAAGGGCGCGUAGGCGGCCUGCUAAGUCGACCGUGAAAUCCCCGAGCUCAACUCGGGAACUGCGUCCGAUACUGGCAGGCUUGAAUCCGGGAGAGGGAUGCGGAAUUCCAGGUGUAGCGGUGAAAUGCGUAGAUAUCUGGAGGAACACCGGUGGCGAAGGCGGCAUCCUGGACCGGCAUUGACGCUGAGGCGCGAAAGCCAGGGGAGCAAACGGG